ACGCGGUGCCUUGGCAGGACAGGUGGGGGUGCCGCAGAAGUGCCGCCACUUACGCCUCUUGAAGAAAGAGUAGUGGCCACACUCGACAGGAGCACCGUCGUCGGGAUUAACGGCAGUUACGACAUCGGAGUAACAGGAGGGGAUGUCAUACUCAGAUACAAUGUCCAGUGCUCAGAUCCCGGUCCUUCAAGUAGUGCUACACCCCUAGUACCUGAUGCUUGUGAAGGCGCAGAGCUGACAUCCUCCACAUGGAUAAGUCAAACACCUAGCCCAGCUUCAUCACAGGAGGCAGCAAAUGUGCAACAGGAGGCAGCAAAUGUGCAACAGGAGGUUGCUGACAGCGCACCGGCU